rnacentral:rRNA from 1 species
AGUAACUGCGAGUGAAGCGGCAAAAGCUCAAAUUUGAAAUCUGGCAUCUUUUGGUGUCUGAGUUGUAAUUUAGAGGGGCAUUUUCAGGUUCAACACUAUUCUAAGUUCUUUGGAACAGGACAUCAUAGAGGGUGAGAAUCCCGUGCCUGGGUAGUUGUUUGAUCCUAUGUGAAGUGUCUCCGACGAGUCGAGUUGUUUGGGAAUGCAGCUCAAAAUGGGUGGUAAAUUUCAUCUAAAGCUAAAUAUUGGCGAGAGACCGAUAGCGCACAAGUAGAGUGAUCGAAAGAUGAAAAGCACUUUGAAAAGAGAGUUAAAAAGUACGUGAAAUUGUUGAAAGGGAAGCACUUGCGACCAGAAUCAAUCUUUGGGGGUCAUCUGAGUUUCGGCUUGGUGCCAUCCCUAUUGAUUGGGCCAGCAUCGGUUUUGGUGGUAGGAUAAAAGGUUGAGGGAAUGUGGCUCUCCUUGGAGAGUGUUAUAGCCCUUAUCAUAAUACUGCCUACUGGGACCGAGGAUCGCGCUUAGGUAAGCUAGGAUGCUGGCAUAAUGGUUUUAAGUGACCCGUCUUGAAACACGGACCAAGGAGUCUAACAUCUAUGCGAGUGUUUGGGUGGAAAACCCUUGCGCGUAAUGAAAGUAAAUGGAGGUGGGAACCUUUUAACCGAGGUGCACCAUCGACCAGUCCUAAUGUUUUUCGGAAGGAUCUGAGUAAGAGCAUAGCUGUUGGGACCCGAAAGAUGGUGAACUAUGCCUGAAUAGGGUGAAGCCAGAGGAAACUCUGGUGGAGGCUCGCAGCGGUUCUGACGUGCAAAUCGAUCGUCGAAUUUGGGUAUAGG